rnacentral:rRNA from 1 species
GACGAACGCUGGCGGCGUGCUUAACACAUGCAAGUCGAACGGAAAGGCCCUGCUUUUGUGGGGUGCUCGAGUGGCGAACGGGUGAGUAACACGUGAGUAACCUGCCCUUGACUUUGGGAUAACUUCAGGAAACUGGGGCUAAUACCGGAUAGGAGCUCCUGCUGCUUGGUGGGGGUUGGAAAGUUUCGGCGGUUGGGGAUGGACUCGCGGCUUAUCAGCUUGUUGGUGGGGUAGUGGCUUACCAAGGCUUUGACGGGUAGCCGGCCUGAGAGGGUGACCGGCCACAUUGGGACUGAGAUACGGCCCAGACUCCUACGGGAGGCAACGGUGGGGAAUAUUGCACAAUGGACGGAAGCCUGAUGCAGCAACGCCGCGUGCGGGAUGACAGCCUUCGGGUUAUAAACAGCUUUCGCCUGUAACGAAGCGUGAGUGACGGUAAUGGGUAAAGAAGCACCGGCUAACUACGUG